rnacentral:lncRNA from 1 species
GUGUGUUCCUCUUCACUAGCAGCUUAGAAUUCAAGUUCAUACGAACAAAUGCAUCAUAAAAUAAAACAUCUACUGAACUUUGAUCAACUAAGACUCGAUGUACAUCAUAAUUAAAAAUAUUUAAAGAUAUAACUAUAGAGCCAUCAUGUGGAUACUUUAUUUCUUUCAGGUCGGCUUCAGAGAAAGUGAUUUCAUUGUUAGUCUUUCUCUUCUUCGGCUCUUUUUCUUCAGCUCGGCUCGAUUUAAAGAUACAGUGGUUGAACUGCCCCCCAAGGAUCACACGGAUCUC